rnacentral:rRNA from 1 species
AGGACGAACGCUGGCGGCGUGCUUAACACAUGCAAGUGGAGCGACGAACCAGGGCUUGCCCUGGGGCAGAGCCGCGAACGGGUGAGUAACACGUGGGUUACCUGCCUCGAUGACUGGGACAACCCGAGGAAACUCGGGCUAAUACCGGAUGUGCCCGCAAGGGGAAAGGAAGCUUCGGCCUCCGCAUCGAGAUGGGCCCGCGGCCCAUUAGCUUGUUGGUGAGGUAACGGCUCACCAAGGCUUCGAUGGGUAGCUGGUCUGAGAGGACGAUCAGCCACACUGGGACUGAGACACGGCCCAGACUCCUACGGGAGGCAGCAGUGGGGAAUCUUGCGCAAUGCGCGAAAGCGUGACGCAGCAACGCCGCGUGGGGGAAGAAGGCUCUCGGGUUGUAAACCCCUUUCAGUUGGGACGAAGCUUCGUCGGUUAAUAGCCGGUUGGAGUGACGGUACCUUCACAAGAAGCACCGGCUAACUACGUGCCAGCAGCCGCGGU